rnacentral:lncRNA from 1 species
UUAACAACUGCAAGCCUGUUUUGGUAAGCUUGAAGUUAUCUCUUGGAAAGCUUAAUGGGCCAACUUGUCUCCACUCUAACGUCCAAAAAUUGUUGAAAUUUAUCAUGCUGUGGCGGCCGCAAAUUUUAAAUAGAUACGAUCCAUGAACAGUACAUUACUUAAUUGGUUGGAUAUGUUAACCUAAAAGUUUAUAGAAAGGUGGCGUGGCUCCACGUAAUUAGGCCUACUCUCUUCUUCAGAUUUGCUCCAUGUUAGUGAGGUUCAUGUGUCAACCCCAAAAGAAAAAGAAAGGUGAGGUCUGUGUGGAUUAUAUAUCUGCUUGUC